CCUGGUGGUGCACGUCCCCAACCUUAUGUGGAUUUCCUAAAUUCUGCAAAAAAGGUUUGGAAGCUGAUCAAUCAAUACUGGAACUCCCUCUUCUCCAGAAGAGACAUCCUGGCCUCCAUGCAGAGGAAUGUGUGGAUGGACAUAUAUUUAAGGAAGACACUAAACCAGAAAAUACUACAUUACACCCUCUUAGAAGUCUUCUAAGAUUGUUGUCAUGCCUACCACAGACAUUCAGAUGAUGUGUAUUGUUGAUUGUGAUUUCAUGUUUGGACCUGAUGAAGGAGUUUGAAGUCUCCAGAGCAGCAAAGAGAGUGGGGAGUAGAACUCAUCAUCUUUAGGUCACUCAUCAUCG
rnacentral:lncRNA from 1 species